rnacentral:lncRNA from 1 species
GUUUUUCAAUAUUAUAUCGUGGCUCCGGUUCACAAAGUUUCCUGGCGCAUUCACGAAUCGAAUGCAAAAAGAAUUAUUAAGAUCCGUCUUCUCCUUUUUUUUUGCGGAGGUAAGACCGAUUUUAGUGCUUUAUUGCUUUGUCUACUAUUAUCAUUGAAUAUAAAAGGAACUACAAAUCUGAACAAAACUUUCAUAAUUGAUCGUACGGAACUUAUUUCAAAUUAUGUUAUUUAAAAGUUAAUGUAAGCAAUAUGAAUAAUAUCAUAGAAAUAUACUACUUAGUGCCAUUUGUUUAAACCAGUCAAUACGACUUUUAGAUUUUAUUAAUACUUUCCCUUCAGCUGGUUCGCCAAGUUUUUCAACUUCAGGUUCUUCUCAUGAGGAGUAGAAAUCGGUAUCAGAGCAUUUAUAGUCUGAAUCAGCGCUGUCGUCACUGUCAUAAAAA